CCUACGGGGAGCAGCAGUGAGGAAUAUUGGUCAAUGGCCGGAAGGCUGAACCAGCCAUGCCGCGUGAAGGUCAGUGCCCUAUGGGCGUUAAACUUCUUUUGUGCGGGAGCAAUAAUGGUCACGUGUGGCCAGACGAGAGUACCGUACGAAUAAGCAUCGGCUAACUCCGUGCCAGCAGCCGCGGUAAUACGGGGGAUGCAAGCGUUAUCCGGAUUUAUUGGGUUUAAAGGGUGCGUAGGCUGUGAGGUAAGUCAGCGGUGAAAUGCCCCCGCUCAACGGGGUGAAGUGCCAUUGAUACUGCCUGGCUGGAGUGCGGAUGCCGUGGGAGGAAUGUGUGGUGUAGCGGUGAAAUGCAUAGAUAUCACACAGAACACCGAUUGCGAAGGCAUCUCACGAAUCCGCGAUUGACGCUGAUGCACGAAAGCGUGGGUAUCAAACAGGAUUAGAUACCCGAGUAGUC
rnacentral:rRNA from 1 species